UGCAACCUGAGCUCAGUCGUGACUACCCGCUGAACUUAAGCAUAUC
rnacentral:rRNA from 1 species